CCUACGGGAGGCAGCAGUGAGGAAUAUUGGUCAAUGGGCGCGAGCCUGAACCAGCCAAGCAGCGUGAAGGAUGACUGCCCUACGGGUUGUAAACUUCUUUUAUAGAGGAAUAAAGUGAGGCACGUGUGCCUUUUUUUUUGUACUUUAUGAAUAAGGAUCGGCUAACUCCGUGCCAGCAGCCGCGGUAAUACGGAGGAUCCGAGCGUUACCCGGAUUUAUUGGGUUUAAAGGGAGCGGAGAUGGGUUGUUAAGUCAGUUGUGAAAGUUUGCGGUUCAACCGUAAAAUUGCAAUUGAUACUGGCAGUCUUGAGUGCAGUUGAGGUAGGCGGAAUGCGUGGUGUAGCGGUGAAAUGCUUAGAUAUCACGAAGAACUCCGAUUGCGAAGGCAGCUUACUAGACUGCCACUGACAUUGAUGCUCGAAAGUGUGGGUAUCGAACAGGAUUAGAUACCCGUGUAGUC
rnacentral:rRNA from 1 species